CCUACGGGAGGCAGCAGUAAGGAAUCUUCCACAAUGGGCGAAAGCCUGGUCCAGCCAUGCCGCGUGUGUGAAGAAGGUCUUCGGAUUGUAAAGCACUUUAAGUUGGGAGGAAGGGCAGUAAGCUAAUACCUUGCUGUUUUGACGUUACCGACAGAAUAAGCACCGGCUAACUCUGUGCCAGCAGCCGCGGUAAU
rnacentral:rRNA from 1 species